UUUAUUGUAGGCAAGCUUUGUAGUCUUAGGACUUAAAGAUGGAACAGAUUUAAACACACCAGAAGUGAUUUCUUUGAGUGUGGGUCUCCCUUUUUCAGUCUGUUGGAACAUUUUUGCCUAUAUCAUUCUGAGAAAAGAAUGGAAAAAAGCAGCCCGCAUUUUUGUUUUCAUUGAUCUGGUUAAGCCUUGCUUUUACGGUUACCAAAUUUGGAAGGAAGCAACAAGGAUAAAGGAUGCACAAACCAGUGACGAUAGAGCAAUCAUAAUUAUAACAAUGGUUGCAGGUGUACUAGGGAUAGUUAUUUGGAUGUUGGUCAUGAAGCAACUGAGAACAGUAUACAAAAAUUUUGAUAAAGGAUUUCGAGAAAAAGUCUAUGAGAAGACAUCCAGCGAAAACACUAGUCUUAUCACAGGUAGAAGGAAAGGCCAGGGCGGAUCCCUGUAGUCCAUGAUCUAAAUGCCUCCAGGAAUAAAAUUGAAUUUUUGAGGAGAGUUUCUCACUACUUAUGGAAGUAAAAAGUUAAUUUUUUAUAAUAUAAAAACGUCUAAGUUGUUUUAUUUAUUAUGACUGUGGGCAGAUUUAAAUAUAUUAAUAAAGUUUUACAUUUUAAGUACAUGAUUCUUGAUAGUUUAACGAUGUCAUUGAUAACAAAAGUUAAGCAGGUUUGCUUGCGCAGGUGGGUUGUCUUGGUGAACAAAUUUUCUGGCUUAAUUAUUGGCUAAGACUUUUCAUUGGCUAUAAUCAUAAUGAACUAUCAAAUCAGAUCAUUUCUUUUGUAGUAAAAGCAAGCCAAAUCUAAAAUCAUAUUAUUGCUGAUCCGGCGAUUCCUGAUUUUAGACUACCACCUCGUACAAUUAUAUGUUAAUAAUUUUAGUUUUUCUAAGUAAAUAAGGGUCUAAGAAUAUAAGUAGUAGAGUUUAAUAUGUAU